UUGACUUGCGAAUGAGAAUUGUUAUUAUUGCGCCAGUUGAUCGCGAGAUCAGCCGGUAAGCUGAAGGACCAGGUCGGACUUUUCAGGUUAUCUCCUCAUCAGGCUAAACACGGUUUUGACCCGGCUCACACCCGGGUCUUUUUUUG
rnacentral:sRNA from 1 species